UACGUAGGUGGCAAGCGUUGUCCGGAUUUAUUGGGCGUAAAGGGAGCGCAGGCGGUGACUUAAGUCUGAUGUGAAAGCCCACGGCUCAACCGUGGAGGGUCAUUGGAAACUGGGUCACUUGAGUACAGAAGAGGAAAGCGGAAUUCCAUGUGUAGCGGUGAAAUGCGUAGAUAUAUGGAGGAACACCAGUGGCGAAAGCGGCUUUCUGGUCUGAAACUGACGCUGAGGCUCGAAAGCGUGGGGAGCAAACAGGAUUAGAUACCUGGUAGUCAAGGC
rnacentral:rRNA from 1 species